rnacentral:rRNA from 1 species
UCCGUAGGCGGGCAAUUAAGUCAGAGGUGAAAUCCCACAGCUCAACUGUGGAACUGCCUUUGAUACUGGUUGUCUUGAGUUACAGUGAAGUAGAUAGAAUAUGUAGUGUAGCGGUGAAAUGCAUAGAUAUUACAUAGAAUACCGAUUGCGAAGGCAGUCUACUAACUGUAUACUGACGCUAAUGGACGAAAGCGUGGGGAGCGAACAGGAUUAGAUACCUGGUAGUCC